rnacentral:misc_RNA from 1 species
AACUAACGCUAUAUAAGUAUCAGUUUCUGUAGUAUAUUGGUAUGAGAAGCUUCCGGAAACAUCAUUCCGGGCAAAAUUUUGAAGUGGGGCGGAGCCCUAC